UACGGAGGGGGCUAGCGUUGUUCGGAAUUACUGGGCGUAAAGCGCACGUAGGCGGACUGUUAAGUCGGGGGUGAAAUCCUGGGGCUCAACCUCAGAAUUGCCUCCGAUACUGGCAGUCUCGAGUGCGGGAGAGGUGAGUGGAAUUCCCAGUGUAGAGGUGAAAUUCGUAGAUAUUGGGAAGAGCACCAGUGGCGAAGGCGGCUCACUGGCCCGUAACUGACGCUGAGGUGCGAAAGCGUGGGGAGCAAACAGG
rnacentral:rRNA from 1 species